rnacentral:tRNA from 1 species
UCCGGGAUGGUCGAGGUGGCAAGACGGCUGGCUUUGGCCCAGCAGAGCGAGGUUCGAAUCCUCGUCCCGGAA